GACGAACGCUGGCGGCGUGCUUAACACAUGCAAGUCGAACGAAGUGGCGAACGGGUGAGUAAUACGUGGGUAACCUGCCCUCCUUUUUGGGAUAAGCUUUGGUAACUGGGUCUAAUACCGAAUAAAGGGGGAUGGGCGCGCGGCCUAUCAGCUUGUUGGUGGGGUGAUGGCCUACCAAGGCGGUGACGGGUAGCCGGCCUGAGAGGGUGACCGGAGACAUUGGGACUGGGAUACGGCGCAGAUGACGACGGAAGGAAGCAGUGGGGGAGAUUGCAAAAUGGACGAGAGCCUGAUGCGGCGACGGCGGGUGGGGGAUGAAGGCUUUUGGGUUGUAAACCUCUUUGGAUAUGGAAGGGGAAGGUGGAGAAGAAGCGCCGGCUAACUACGUGCCAGCAGCCGCGGUAAUAC
rnacentral:rRNA from 1 species